rnacentral:rRNA from 1 species
AUUGAACGCUGGCGGCAGGCCUAACACAUGCAAGUCGAGCGGAUGAAGGGAGCUUGCUCCUGGAUUCAGCGGCGGACGGGUGAGUAAUGCCUAGGAAUCUGCCUGGUAGUGGGGGAUAACGUCCGGAAACGGGCGCUAAUACCGCAUACGUCCUGAGGGAGAAAGUGGGGGAUCUUCGGACCUCACGCUAUCAGAUGAGCCUAGGUCGGAUUAGCUAGUUGGUGGGGUAAAGGCCUACCAAGGCGACGAUCCGUAACUGGUCUGAGAGGAUGAUCAGUCACACUGGAACUGAGACACGGUCCAGACUCCUACGGGAGGCAGCAGUGGGGAAUAUUGGACAAAGGGCGAAAGCCUGAUCCAGCCAUGCCGCGUGUGUGAAGAAGGUCUUCGGAUUGUAAAGCACUUUAAGUUGGGAGGAAGGGCAGUAAGUUAAUACCUUGCUGUUUUGACGUUACCAACAGAGUAAGCACCGGCUAACUUCGUG